CCCUAGCCAACACUUCCGCAGCCCAUAAAUUAGCUUUAUCAUCCUCUCCUCUUGAGAUAGAAAUGGCGGAUAAAGCAAGCAAUGGAUCCGCAAUUAAAACAAGGUAGGUUACCGCUAGCUAGUCCAGUUGUAGAAUUCAAAACCAAUUUGAUUCCUUCAUCUCGAUCCGCAUAUCUACAGCAUUUCAGUUUAUAAUGUUUUCAAAAGUCAAUCAAAAUCUGCAUCUUUGUUGAUGAUUUGUUAUAAGUUUUGAUUCGGUCGGUUCGAUGCUGUAUAGCAAUGCAUCAUUUCAGUUUGAGUUUUGUAAAAGCAAUCAAAUCUUGUUGAUUUGUUAUGAGUUUUGAUUUGGUGGAUUGUAAAAAUGGUAGCUAAUUAGCCAGUCACACAUCAGCUUAAAUGCUGUGGCGCUGUGUGAAUGGUCAGUAAGCUCACCUACAUUAUCAGGAUGCUGGCCUUGUUUUUGGGAUCUGAUUUUCUCAGCUCCCGCCCAGAUCAUCACCUACAUAUCGAUUUUUUUUAUUUUUUUUUGGAUUGGGAGCCGAUUUUCUAAACUCCUACCCCCAGGUUAUCACCUAAUUUUAAAUUUUUAAUAAAAGAACUAAUUUUUAUUGGGAUAAUUGGAUAUGAAUUGAGAUAUGUAGAGAUGUAUCGCCCGUGAAACACCUUUUGACAAUUCCAACGAUUUCGAUGAAUUUAUUUCACAGAAAAGUUAUAAGGUUAGAUUGAAAAUACAAUGAAAAAUAUUACUCACAAAAAAAAAAUAUCCACUAUAAAGAAAAAAGAAUUUUAUAGAGGAGUUGCAGCAUGAGGGACAUGGAAAAAUCUAACUUCUUAGUUCAACAACUUCAAUGAUUUGCAAACAAAUGCUGAAAAAUGGAAAAGUUGCAAUUUCUGGCCAUGUAUGUCCUGGCUAGAGGAUCAACCUGGUUCUAAUUCAGACUGCUAGAAGAACCCUUACUGUCCUUGGGAUUUGGGAACUUGUGAUAUGUAUCCUGAAUUCAUCUAAAUGUGGUUUAAAUAUCUUACGUGAAAACUUUAAUAAGUUAAUACUAUCAGUAAACAAUUUCCAACCAUACCCCUCUGGUGUGGUAAAACUUUGCGAAAAAUCAUCAUAAUUAGGAUAGGAUACAUUGAUACAAAAGAUUACAAUUUGAGCUAAGCUAAGCUUUAUUCUGAAUAGCUAAUAAGGUGCAAAAACUCAGGAGAUGUUAAAUCCUACAAAAAAAUAAAUUGUUUGAGAGUCUGGAUGGGUGAUAAGCAUCAAGAUACCAAUAAUACUAAAGUUGUAAACUAAAGGUAAAAGGGAUUUCAAGAUAAUAUUAAAGUUGUUCCACAGAGCUUGUAAGCACUGCUAAAAAGUCUCUUCAUAUGCAAUAAAAUGGGGAAGAAAGAAACAAUAGAAAUUUCCUUAUCACCUUAUAUGAAGGAAUGCUCUUUGGUGAUACCAUAUCAUGUAAAGGUGUCACCUCUAUAUCCCCGUCUUUCGACCAUCCUUUUGACUCGUUUUUUGAAUUAAUGUUGGCUUUCCGUUUCAAGAGAUUUAAUUCACUUGCACUGGGCCUUCUGGAUGUGGAUGUGGGCACCAUGGUUGUCACAAAUUUUUGGAUGUUAUGUGAGCGUUGCGAGGAGAAAUACUGAAACGCAGUACCAUUCCCAGGAAGAAAAGAAGGAGAAAUGGAGAAAUGGAAGACAAAGAAGAGACUCGAGCUUGAAAGGAUGAAAGAGAAACAAAAGAGAAAGGCUGCCAAUAAGAGAGACCUGAGACGGUUUGGAGUCAAAGGAAACAAAAAAAAAAUGAAAAUUUUCCACUGCUAAGGAAAGGAGUACAAGCUUUAACAAGUAUAUGCCAACAAUUUCUUAAGGAAUCAAAAUUUUGGUUGUAAUAUUUUUAGUGUUACUAUUUUGUUUUCCUCAGUUGUUUUAAGAUCUAAUAUACUCAUUUUCACACAUUUUAAAGGAGGAAUAGAAGUGCUAAGGAGUCCCAAUCACACAGUUUCACACAUUUUAGAGAUGAUCAUAUCGGUAAACUUAUGCAUUGAGUGAGUUCACAUCCCCCAUUGUAAUCGAUCCGAAAUCCUAUGCUUUCUAUCUUAAAUCAAGCUAGCAAAAUAAAAGUUCCAGCAUUUGCCACAA